rnacentral:rRNA from 1 species
GACGAACGCUGGCGGCGUGCUUAACACAUGCAAGUCGAGCGGUAAGGCCCUUUCGGGGGUACACGAGCGGCGAACGGGUGAGUAACACGUGGGUGACCUGCCCUCAGCUCUGGGAUAAGCCUGGGAAACCGGGUCUAAUACUGGAUAUGACUCCAUGACGCAUGUUGUGGGGUGGAAAGCCUUGUGCGGCUGAGGAUGGGCCCGCGGCCUAUCAGCUUGUUGGUGGGGGAUGGCCUACCAAGGCGACGACGGGUAGCCGGCCUGAGAGGGCGACCGGCCACACUGGGACUGAGACACGGCCCAGACUCCUACGGGAGGCAGCAGUGGGGAAUCUUGCGCAAUGGGCGAAAGCCUGAC